UGGCUACUCCACCCCUUACCCAAAUCCUGUACUGCUGUCUACUAUUAUCUCUCUUCAAAAUUUCCCAUUUUGUCUUUUUAAAUUCUACCUUCCUAUUUUAUUGCUCUCUCUCUUUUCCCACGAAAUCACAUUGACAUUUUAUCAAGUUCCUAAAAUAAAUCAAUUAACCCAAUUUGUAUUAAUUCUUUUUAUUAUCCAUGGACCAUGGAGGUCAGUAAGAGUGGCGAUUUUCAUCCUUGGUCUGAAAACACCACUUGACGAUUUGAGUAUUACCCAAAUACAAAACAAGUUCAUCAUUUGUUAAUUACCUUGAUAUGAGAACAUCACUUGAUGAUUAAGAGUGGUGUAUUGUCACGGUGGGUCAUCGAUAUCAUCAGAAUAUUACUCCAAAGAGCGGUGAGUUGUAUCCUUAGUAAAACAAAUCGAGAAUCUAUAAUACCUCUUCAACCAUCCAAGUCUCUAAUUGAUGAUUUUGAAUUUGGGUCUCCUAAAAUCUUCGAGACGAUCAUGAAGCCACUCACACUUUCUCUCAGCACCAGCAAGCCAAACAACUUAGCAAAACAUGUUAUCAUACCAAUUCCCAAACUAAAAAGGAAUCACUUGAAGCUCAAUAAUUUCAAGUAUGACAUGACAUGAAAGAAGCAGAAAGCCAUAAUGAUUCACAAUACAAAAUCUUAUUAUCCCCCAGCAGGGAUCUAUCUCUCAGUAACAUCCUCAAAGUAAGAAGCAGCAGGCCCGGCUAAGGCCCUAUGCAAGGUGAGCAAUUGCAAAGGGUCCCAAAAUUUCAAGGGCCCAAUUAUUAUCUUUGACUACCCAAAGUAAAAAAAAAAAAUCCAAUUUCACGCUUUUUUUUACAGAAACUUCACGCUUUCUUUUACAAACUUCACGCUUUCCUCUUCCAAUUCCUAAAACCCCAUUAAUGACAGCUCCAACGUUUCCUAUUCCCAAAAAAAAUUCAAUCUUUCUCCAUUUACAACUCUCAGUAUUAAUCCUUAGAUUUUUUUGCCUAAAAAAAUCAAAAAUUCUUUUUCUUUUUUGAUUUACCCAACAUCAUCAUCCAUGUUAAACAGUAAACACCACUCUCAUCUUCUACUCGAUUGGUUGAUUGACCGGGUUUGAUGUGUUGUAGCAACGUAGCUCUUAUCUCAUUAGAGUUCAAAGAUCCUAAUAUUUUGAAGAAGUACGACAUUCAGCGAAUCAAUGUUUAGAAUGAUAUUGAAGUGCUUGAUAUGUGUGACUUGUGAGUGAUACUUCUUCCUUCUCAAAAGAGGUAUUUAAAAAUUAAUUAUUUGGAUUAAUUCCUAUUUUUUGUAUCCUGAUGUGUGGAAAUCGAGGGUUUUUUUUAGUUUUUGGGGAUAAAUGAAGGUAUACUAUGGUGGUAAUUGAAUGAUUCCUUCUCUGAAUAUUUAGAAGGUAAUUUCUAAAUUUUGAAAUUUUUGUUUUUUUUGUUUUGAUGAUCUGGAAUUUUGGUUAAUUUUAUACUAUUUUCUUAUUAUUUUUGACAA